UUUUAAUCCCGUCCAAGUGCGUUCGGAGCAACACACAUGUAUUCACCCCAGCUUCCCCUGGCGCGUACGCGCGUGCCGGAUUCUUCCUCAUCCUCAGAGACGCCAAACGCAGAUCCAGGAGGCCUCGAAGCUUCUCUGCUCCAGUUUAUCCACCAUCAUCAUGAAGCCUCUCUCGGACUCCGCGACCGCACCGAGAGAGCGAAGAAAGAUGCGAUUCGAAAUGCUGCCCGAGUUUCGGAUCUAUUGGUGGACGCCGUGAACGGUGGAGUACAAGAGGCAUUCGUCAACCAGAAGCGAAUCGAGCUCGAAAUCCGAGCUCUGGCUGCGACGAUUGCCCGCUUCAUGAAGCAGACCGAUCACUGGCUUACCGCCACUCAUGCUAUCAACACCGCUAUCAAGGUUGUGUAUGCGUGAGGCAGUUUGUGAAUCACAAUGGCAUGGUUAUAGUCUCUCUUGACCUUGUGUUAAGCAGGUGCUGUGUUUGCUUUGGAAAUUGGAGACUUUGAGAACUGGAUGAAGACAAUGGAGUUUGAUUGUAAAAGUGUCAGUGCGGCGAUCCACAACAUUCACCAAGCCUGAUCUAACUGCAAAGUUAUUUAGUUUUACCAUUUGUAAUUUGUGAGUCUCUUUUCUUUCUUCCUUUCUUGUUCGAGAAAAUUUAUUUAGAAGCUUUAUUUAUUAACACACCGGCACGCUGCUGACAAAGAAGCUUUUCACAUUAGUUAUGCUAAAAAAUGAUUCGUGUUUUGAUUUUU